rnacentral:lncRNA from 1 species
CUGCCCGCCACCGCCACCGACGAGUUUCAACAUGGGGAAUCAAGUUCUCUGGGCUUGCAGAGAGGAGAUGGGCGGGUUGGGCUUUGUAUGGCGAUGUGAAAACCAGAUGGGUCUGGGAGAGACAGCGAAAGGAGCGAACCGUUUCAGGAGGAAUACGGGAGGAAGACAAUUAUUUGCAGAGGUGUCAGGGGAUUUGAUGCAGAUGAUCAUCAUGGCUUGGAGAAACAAUGAAGGAAGCAAAGUAUGCCAUCUAUGCUGCGGGAGGUAACUCCAGAAGACCCCAGAGAGAACGAGUUUGGACUUUUAACUGAGGGCCAUUGGAAACUACUGAAGAGUUUUAGGCAGCAUAAGAACUACUAGAUUUUCAUUGUGGGAGGAUCCUCAGCAGCAGCCUCAGAAAGGAGAUUGGGGAAGGAGAUCCCUAGUCAGGGAGACCAAGAAGACUACUGGAAAAAAACAGGGGAAUCCUCAAGGACCUGCAAACAAGAAACCAAAUCCCCCCACUCCCCCCAGCCAAAAUGUGUUCAUUUUGACCAGCUGUGUGUGUGUUUUAAAUUAAAAGUUUGAAUUAGAAAGCAAGUAGGAUAAAUUUAUAUACUUAGAUGUAUAAAUUUAAAUACCUGGCCCCUGAAGCACUUCUGAUAGGUCUCAGCUACCCAAACAAGAAGAACGGAAUCUUUGAAUCCCCAGGACUCAACGCAGUACUGGACACAAAAUGGGAGCUGAAAAAGUGUGUGUGGAGUCAGUGAAGGAUGCAAUUUCCCCUCAUUGUAGAGAUGAAGAAGCUGAGGCUGCAGAGUAGAAUAGGAGCAGACAGUGGGGAUUGUCUUCAAAGUAGGUUCCUAGUUCCUGGCUCAGAGGUCCCAGUUUUUGUUGACCAUGGACAGUAAAACUCCCUGGGGAAGCGGGCCCAGUCUCAGGAGAGCAGUUUUGAUUGGUCUAAGUUUGUGAUUGACUUAGGAACUGUCUGGCCAAUGAAAUAUGAGGGAAAGCCUGGGGGAUUCUGGGAAAGGUUUUGUAAACCAAAAAGUAUUUGAGACAUGUCUCAAUUUUAGAGGAUUAUUUUGCCAAGGUUAAGGACCAUUGCCCAUACAGCCUCAGGAGGCCCUGAGAACAUAUACCCAAGGUGGUUGGGGUACAGCUUCAUUUUAUACAUUUUAGGGAGUCAGAAGUUACAGGCAAAGACAUAAAUCAAUACAUGCAAGGUAUACAUUGGUUUGGCCCAGAGAGGUGGAACAUCUAGAAGCAGGAGCUUCCAGGUCAUAAGUGGAUUCAAAGAUUUCCUGAUUGGCAGUUUGUUGACAGAGUUAAGCUCCGCCCCAAGAGUUGAUGUCAGCUUAAAUUAAGGUAGGACACUCUGCAACCUUGGUUUGAUUUUGGAUCCCCC